rnacentral:pre_miRNA from 1 species
UGGAGGAACAACCCCAGUGGCUGCGGCAGCUCUGGAGCCCUGGAGUCAGCUCCCGCAGGAACUACAGAGCUCUCAGUCUGCAGGGCCUGGAGGCUCCAGCGCGGG